rnacentral:rRNA from 1 species
CAGUAGCCACGGGAAUACGAAGGGGGCUAGCGUUGUUCGGAAUUACUGGGCGUAAAGCGCACGUAGGCGGACGCUUAAGUCAGGGGUGAAAUGCCGAGGCUCAACCUCGGAACUGCCUUUGAUACUGGGUGUCUUGAGUCCGGAAGAGGUGAGUGGAACUGCGAGUGUAGAGGUGAAAUUCGUAGAUAUUCGCAAGAACACCAGUGGCGAAGGCGGCUCACUGGUCCGGAACUGACGCUGAGGUGCGAAAGCGUGGGGAGCAAACAGGAUUAGAUACCCCAGUAGUCCCUGUCUCUUAUAC